UGGUCUAGUGUGAUCGCACCAACAAGGUUUGGUCUGUAGGUGCGAGUCCAAAGAAGCGAACAUGAGAUCGCAGAAGCGGAGUUGGCUGGGGAGCUAAAAGUUCGUAUCAGCAGAGGAGUUAGCGUAGAAACGAGUGUGCAGGUGCGAAGGGUUGUCAACAGGAGUGGAUGCGGAUAAGCGUAAGGUCAAGGAUCUAAGUGGGUUCCGCAUCAGUGAGGGAUUUCCACUGAUGUAGUGUCACAUAAGCGACAUUUUGGCCGCAAAAGAGAUAAUCGCAUGGCAGAAUAUGUUUUGAUCAAGGAUUUGGCUUAUUUUAUCAUUUUUUAAGAUUGGAGCUCGGAUUGGGAGAUGAUUUAGGCGAUUUUCACCCACUUGGAUUGGGUAAGUGUUAUUAACUUAGAUUUGAUUAUAUUUUGUGAAUCUAUCCUUGAAUUUGGCUUUUGCUUGAUGAAAUCCAAAGGAGAAAAUUGAGAUUUUUGUAAAACGUUUUGGACAGUAAAUAUUUAAAAUUUGAACACUAAUUUGAAGUCGGAUUUAGAUGAAACUUAUAUAUUUGGACUCAUGUUGCAAUAGUUGAUCGGGAUUUAUAACUUUUGUCAGGUUUCAGAAAGUGGGCUCGGGUUGUCAUUUUUUUGACUUUGUGUUUUUGAUAAAAUAUUGAGCCUUUAUGCUCCAAUAUUUUUUCCUUUUGCAUUAUUUGACAUCGUGGUGUGCUAUUCGACUAGAUUCGAGCCGUUUGGAGGUCGAUUUGCAUGGGAAGUGUUUUUUGGAGUAAUGAUUCACGCACUUUGAGGUAAGUAACAUGUCUAAACUUCGUCUGAGGGUAGUUUUUCUGUUGGCUAUGAUAUUUGAGGUAUGUUUGGGGUGACGUACGUGCUCGGUGACUAGCUUAUAUGCGUACAUCAAAGUUACUCAUGAUCCGGGUAGACCCUAGGCUAUUAUGUGCCUUAUUUUACUAUCAUGAUCCUUUAUUUUCGUGUUUUCUUCACUUAUAUGACUACGUGAGCUAUUAUUCAUAUUAUAAAUCAUGUCUAGGAUAUGUGCUUAUCUGUUUGAGACAUGAUAGGGCUAUUCUUGCUAGAUUGAGCUGGUUGCCUUAAUCGUAGUCAUAUUCUCAAUCAUGAUGUAUAUUUGUAUAUUAUAUCACACAUGUUGUCGAUGCUCUUAUAUGUGUGACAUAGUUUGAGCUUAGUACCGCGAGAUGUGAAUAUUUGAAACUUAGAGCGGUUGAUGACUGAUCGUGGACCAUAAAGCCGAUUUGAUACUAAUAAUGAGGUUAUGCAUACGCCAGGCCCCACAUUGGGCUAAGUGGUAUUGAUUAUGAGGUGACACGUGCACGAGGCCCCAAGUUGGACUAAGCGAUAUUGAUCGUUGACUUAGAUCUAAUCAGCGCUGGGGCAAGAACCUGCCCUUCUGGAAUUAGGUAUUAAUCGUGAGCGCAUGUACAUGGUCACAUAUGUGCUUGGUGAUUGACUUGUGAUAAGCACCCAUACAGUGCUGAGUGUUGUUGAGUGUGAUGAUUGAAGGGUAACUAUGCCAGGUACCAUACAUGUACUCAGAUUUGAUAUACUUGGUGAUUUAUCUGCGAUAUUAUUAAUUUUGGCAUGUAUACUUGUCAGGCAUGUACUAUGUUGUAUUUCUUCCCUCAUGCUUAUUGGUACUUGGCGUCUCUAUUUGAUGUAUUAAACUUGGAAUCACAAUUAAAUUGAUAAAAUAAUGUUUAGAUGACUUAUGUGAAGAAUUUAUGCCUUAACUGCUAUUCUUAAAAAGUAUGCUUAUUUUCCUUCUAUUUGUAAAAGGUUGAAUUUAAUAUUACUUGAGCUACUUUUCUUUUGCCGUUAUUUAACCGUUAUUGUUGUAAUUGAUUAUUGAAAAUGAGCAUUGGACCUUGCCGAGAUCAUCACUGCUUUUAGCUCGAGGUUACGUUUGCUACUUAUUGAGUACAUGGGAUCGGUUGUACUCAUACUACACUCUGCACUUUAUGUACAGAUGCAGGUGCUGUUGAGAGAGGUGAUUGCUUAGGAGUGGCAACAGUUCUUGGAAAUUUUGAGGUAGCUGCUAUUUGUCAUUGGUAGGCCUUGAAGUCCCCUUUCUCAUAGUUUAUGUUAUUGUUGUUCUAUAUUUUAGACAAUACUAUAUUUUGAGAUCAGACACUGUAUUUUAAUUCUUUAGCACUCAUGUACUCAUCGACACCAGAUCUUGGGAUUGUCCUAGUUGUAUUAUUGCUAUGGACUUUAUUUAUUUAUGAUUAUUCCGAUG
rnacentral:lncRNA from 1 species